ensembl:lncRNA
UGCUAUUAUAUAUGUGCUUAAAUGAGUACUUAUGUUUAGGUACUGUAUGGUUGUGGAAAAUUCUGAAUUCAUGAUACAUCAUACAGAAUUCAUGAACUGGAAUUUUAAUUGAAUUGGUUAUAUUCCAUAGAAUGUUCAAUAGGAAUUUGAAUUGGAAUGACAAGAAGUGUAAUGGGAGAUAAUAGCAUUCUGGGAAAUUAAGUAUUCCUCAACUCUGGAAUCAAGCAAUGUCGGAAGUGAUGUUUUUGUGUAGCUGGGCAUCACAGAAGGUUACUGUUGAGGACAAACUCCAAGUUAAACUCUCUCCAGCUCCUCCAGUUGGCCUCAGACCACCUACAGCUGGCCUGUCAGCGAGACCACUGGGUGCUCUCCGUUCACUGAGGAUGUGAAAAUAUGAACACGUGUUUUGGAUUCACAAUCAUUUCCAAAGAUGUCCCUUUUAAACACUUGGUUCUGAGCAGAUAUGUUUUUCCCUAUUUAAUUGUGCAGCAACUUUCAUGUAUCGGUACAACUGCUUUUUGAUUGAGCGAGUGAUUGAAAUUUGGACAGUGACAACAUUUCCCGCUGUCCGUGCU